rnacentral:ncRNA from 1 species
UGAUAGCGAUGAAGCGUGAGGUUGCUGCACAUUCAGGUUGCAGGUUUUCCGUGGAGCGAAUGUCAUGUAAUGAUACUGGCGACAA